GCAUCAGGAAGCAAAUAUACUGCAUUCAAUAUGACAGUUGGAGUGGUUUAGUUAGUUAUAUAUGUAGUGGGUAAACAGCCCAGUAAUUAAGCAGGAAUACUAUGAACAGUUUAGGUGGAAAUAACAUCAAAGUAAUUCUCUGAGGGAGUUCUGGGCUGGCUGCGUGUGUGUGCUUGGGUCCCGGGCUGGCUGGGAGUCCCCCGGGAGUCCCCCCCCAGCCCCGCGCGCUCUGCGCGCAUGGAUCAGGCCCCAGGUGCAGCUGCAACAGGAGAGGGGAGAGAGAGAGUGGGGGAUCCUCACCGGCAGUUGCUGCACACCUGUGGAGGAGGAGAGAGUAGCUUCGGAGCACACUGAGGAAAACCACUGUCAAAUACGGGAAACAACAAUAAGAUCUAAUAGUUAUAUAAAAGAAAGAACAUACCAGCCCACAAGAAACCAUACUGCAGCCAAAUCUUAGACUUCUACUACUGACAUCAUUUAACAUGCAGAAAAGGAUUUGUUUGAAGUAAAAAGGUUGGAAAAAGUU